rnacentral:rRNA from 1 species
CCUACGGGAGGCAGCAGUGGGGGAUAUUGCACAAUGGGGGAAACCCUGAUGCAGCGACGCCGCGUGAGUGAAGAAGUAUUUCGGUAUGUAAAGCUCUAUCAGCAGGGAAGAAAAUGACAGUACCUGACCAAGAAGCCCCGGCUAACUACGUGCCAGCAGCCGCGGUAAUACGUAGGGGGCAAGCGUUAUCCGGAUUUACUGGGUGUAAAGGGAGCGUAGACGGUUAUGUAAGUCUGGAGUGAAAGCCCGGGGCCCAACCCCGGGACUGCUUUGGAAACUGUGUAACUGGAGUACAGGAGGGGCAGGCGGAAUUCCUGGUGUAGCGGUGAAAUCCGUAGAUAUCUGGAGGAACAUCAGUGGCGAAGGCGACUAUCUGGCACAUAACUGACGCUGAGGAGCGAAAGCGUGGGUAGCAAACAGGAUUAGAUACCCUGGUAGUC